CUGAACCAGCCAAGUAGCGUGAAGGAUGACUGCCCUAUGGGAUGUAAACUUCAUUUAUAUGGGAUUAAAGUGGACCACGUGUGGACUUUGGUAUGUACCAUAUUAAUAAGGAUCGGCUAACUCCGUGCCAGCAGCCGCGGUAAUACGGAGGAUCCGAGCGUUAUCCGGAUUUAUUGGGUUUAAAGGGAGCGUAGGCGGAUUGUUAAGUCAGUUGUGAAAGUUUGCGG
rnacentral:rRNA from 1 species